rnacentral:tRNA from 1 species
AUUUUUCUAGUAUAACGAGUACAAGUGACUUCCAAUCACUAAGACUCAGCUUAAACCUGAGGAUAAAUA